rnacentral:rRNA from 1 species
UCGGAAUUACUGGGCGUAAAAGCGCAUGCAGGUGGUUUGUUAAGUCAGAUGUGAAAGCCCGGGGCUCAACCUCGGAAUUGCAUUUGAAAACUGGCAAAACUAGAGUACUGUAGAGGGGGUAGAAUUUCAGGUGUAGCGGUGAAAAUGCGUAGAGAUCUGAAGGAAUACCGGUGGCGAAGGCGGCCCCCUGGACAGAUACUGACACUCAGAUGCGAAAGCGUGGGGAGCAAACAGGAUUAGAUACCCUGGUGG